GGCCGCCUGGCGUAAUGGCAACGCGUCUGACUACGACUGGAUAAUCAGGAGAUUGCAGGUUCGACCCCUGCGGUGGUCA
rnacentral:tRNA from 2 species